rnacentral:tRNA from 1 species
GAGACACUAGUAUAUUAAUACUUAGCCCUGUCAGAGCUAAAUAAUAGGUGUAACCCCUUUGCGUCUCA